rnacentral:rRNA from 1 species
UAAAGAAUUUCGGUAUGGGAUGGGGAUGCGUUCCAUUAGUUAGUUGGCGGGGUAACGGCCCACCAAGACAACGAUGGAUAGGGGUUCUGAGAGGAAGGUCCCCCACAUUGGAACUGAGACACGGUCCAAACUCCUACGGGAGGCAGCAGUGAGGAAUAUUGGUCAAUGGACGAGAGUCUGAACCAGCCAAGUAGCGUGAAGGAUGACUGCCCUAUGGGUUGUAAACUUCUUUUAUAUGGGAAUAAAACGUUCCACGUGUGGAAUUUUGUAUGUACCAUAUGAAUAAGGAUCGGCUAACUCCGUGCCAGCAGCCGCGGUAAUACGGAGGAUCCGAGCGUUAUCCGGAUUUAUUGGGUUUAAAGGGAGCGUAGGUGGAUUGUUAAGUCAGUUGUGAAAGUUUGCGGCUCAACCGUAAAAUUGCAGUUGAAACUGGCAGUCUUGAGUACAGUAGAGGUGGGCGGAAUUCGUGGUGUAGCGGUGAAAUGCUUAGAUAUCACGAAGAACUCCGAUUGCGAAGGCAGCUCACUGGACUGCAACUGACACUGAGGCUCGAAAGUGUGGGUAUCAAACAGGAUUAGAUACCCUGGUAGUCCACACAG